CCUACGGGAGGCAGCAGUCGAGAAUCAUUCACAAUGGGGGAAACCCUGAUGGUGCGACGCCGCGUGGGGGAAUGAAGGUCUUCGGAUUGUAAACCCCUGUCAUGUGGGAGCAAAUUAAAAAGAUAGUACCACAAGAGGAAGAGACGGCUAACGCUGUGCCAGCAGCCGCGGUAAUACAGAGGUCUCAAGCGUUGUUCGGAAUCACUGGGCGUAAAGUGUGCGUAGGCUGUUUCGUAAGUCGGGUGUGAAAGGCGCGGGCUCAACCCGCGGACUGCACAUGAUACUGCGAGACUAGAGUAAUGGAGGGGGAACCGGAAUUCUCGGUGUAGCAGUGAAAUGCGUAGAUAUCGAGAGGAACACUCGUGGCGAAGGCGGGUUCCUGGACAUUAACUGACGCUGAGGCACGAAGGCCAGGGGAGCGAAAGGGAUUAGAUACCCCGGUAGUC
rnacentral:rRNA from 1 species